GGUGCGAUGCCCGAGUGGUUAAGGGGUUAGUCUUGAAUUACACAUUCAACGGUCGUGCGAUGAGCUGAUUAACUAAUUCGCAAUGCGAGCGCAGGUUCGAACCCUGCUCGCACCG
rnacentral:tRNA from 2 species